CGUGUAUGCUCCCGCCCCGUCAUUGGGGAGUAACCUCCUGCGGCGUUACGCCGCCGGGCUUACAUCAACACACUUGGCCGGUUGGGCCAUGGUGUAAGCGGCUUCAGUGCUUGGUGAGACCUUUGAUCAUGUCGUUCCGGUAUGGGCCGCGGACGGCGUGGUCAAUUGUGUCCUCCGGCCCUGAACGCU
rnacentral:sRNA from 11 species